UGCUCAAGUGUCCACACUACAUUCUGGAAC
rnacentral:piRNA from 1 species